UUUGCAACAGGACACAGUGGAGGAGGAGGACAGACAGGGCUCUGCCCUGCUUGAGGUCUAUACAAGAUCUCUAGAUGUGUGAAGGGUAUGGAUCAGGUUAGGACACUUUCAGGAUGGUAAAAUCUCUGCCUGUAUUGGUUCUGGCAAGCCAGACAUAGCUCAUCCUCUGCCCUGGGUACACUCCAGCCAUGACCACUGUGACAUGGAAAUUUCUUCUUUUCUUUCCUUCUGCUUCUGCGCGCACAGCUCCCUUUGCUUGUCUGAGCUCUCCAGCUCUCUGUCUGCAACAUCCUGCUCAGUCCUAAGGAUGUAGCCGGGCGUGGUCUCCGAUGUAAUGCGCUUCCCGACUCCCCUCCUUUCCAGCCAGCCAGGAGCAAGGGUGUCUUGUGAGUCUUCUAGAUCUGGCACACCACCAGCCCCAGGUUUUCACGAGUCUUGGGAAAGUGGGUGA
rnacentral:lncRNA from 1 species